AGCGCAACCCUCGCUGUGUGUUACAAGUGUCACACGGAACUGCCGGUCAUAAACCGGAGGAAGGUGGGGGACGACGUCAAGUCAGCAUGGCCUUUAUAUCCUGGGCUACACACACGCUACAAUGGGAAGGGACAAUAGGUUGCGAAGCCGCGAGGCGGAGCCAAUCCAGCAAAACUUCCCUCAGUUCAGAUUGCAGGCUGCAACUCGCCUGCAUGAAGUUGGAGUUGCUAGUAAACGCAGGUCAGCCAUACUGCGUUGAAUACGUUCCCGGGGCUU
rnacentral:rRNA from 1 species